rnacentral:rRNA from 1 species
CCCUUAGAUGUUCUGGGCUGCACGCGCGCUACACUGAUGCGCUCAACGAGUUUUAACCUUGCCUGGAAAGGUUGGGUAAUCUUUUUAAAACGCAUCGUGAUGGGGAUAGAUUAUUGCAAUUAUUAAUCUUCAACGAGGAAUUCCUAGUAAACGCAAGUCAUCAGCUUGCAUUGAUUACGUCCCUGCCCUUUGUACACACCGCCCGUCGCUCCUACCGAUUGAAUGAUCCGAUGAAUAUCAUGGACUGAGAGUGUUAGAGUUUUCGGACUUCUACACUUCUCGGGAAGUGAAGUGAAUCUUAUCAUUUAGAGGAAGGAGAAGUCGUAACA